CGCGGGGUGUGUCGCUGGAGGCUGGGGUGGCUGGGAGCUGCCUGCUUCAUCCCCAAGGUUUCUGGAGCAGAGCAAGGGUGCACAGAGCCGGCUGUGGAGAUGGAGUCUCCUGCCGCUGCUGCAUCUCCCAUGGGUGCGGCGCAGGAUGGGAGGAAACAGGGCUGUUGUGGUGGGGCUUGGCUUCAGCUCCCCCGUUAAGCGUUUGAGAACCAAAUCAGUGAGAGGCCCCUUGCUGUGCCUCAGUUCCUCUCACAGCAGGGCUGGGGGGAGCAGUGGUGGGGUCUGGCUGUGUCCUGGGGUCACUACUGGCCCGUGGUGGGGUGAAGUGUCACAUUUCACACUGGCUUUGCCCCCGUGCAGGGCCAUCCCCGGGGGCAGCAGGGGCUUCUCCCCGGGCAGCCGCACUGGGAGCACUCCCUGGGUUUGUGCUGCCCCCCUCCCCUCUUUCUGGAACUCGGCACUCAGAGCAGCGAUGCUUUUGAUGCUGAUGCCAAGGCUGAACUCGUUACGUGGAUAUUUUUAUAUCAGACUCCAGAGGAGAUCGGAAGAGCAC